rnacentral:rRNA from 1 species
GACGAACGCUGGCGGCGUGCUUAACACAUGCAAGUCGAACGGAAAGGCCCUGCUUGCAGGGUACUCGAGUGGCGAACGGGUGAGUAACACGUGGGUGAUCUGCCCUGCACUUCGGGAUAAGCCUGGGAAACUGGGUCUAAUACCGGAUAGGAGCCAUUUUUAGUGUGAUGGUUGGAAAGUUUUUUCGGUGUAGGAUGAGCUCGCGGCCUAUCAGCUUGUUGGUGGGGUAAUGGCCUACCAAGGCGGCGACGGGUAGCCGGCCUGAGAGGGUGGACGGCCAAAUGGGACUGAGAUACGGCCCAGACUCCUACGGGAGGCAGCAGUGGGGAAUAUUGCACAAUGGGCGCAAGCCUGAUGCAGCGACGCCGCGUGGGGGAUGACGGCCUUCGGGUUGUAAACUCCUUUCGCUAGGGACGAAGCUUUUUGUGACGGUACCUAGAUAAGAAGCACCGGCUAACUACGUG